GAGUAAUGUCUGGGAAACUGCCUGAUGGAGGGGGAUAACUACUGGAAACGGUGGCUAAUACCGCAUAACGUCGCAAGACCAAAGAGGGGGACCUUCGGGCCUCUUGCCAUCAGAUGUGCCCAGAUGGGAUUAGCUUGUUGGUGAGGUAACGGCUCACCAAGGCGACGAUCCCUAGCUGGUCUGAGAGGAUGACCAGCCACACUGGAACUGAGACACGGUCCAGACUCCUACGGGAGGCAGCAGUGGGGAAUAUUGCACAAUGGGCGCAAGCCUGAUGCAGCCAUGCCGCGUGUAUGAAGAAGGCCUUCGGGUUGUAAAGUACUUUCAGCGGGGAGGAAGGUGUUGUGGUUAAUAACCGCAGCAAUUGACGUUACCCGCAGAAGAAGCACCGGCUAACUCCGUGCCAGCAGCCGCGGUAAUACGGAGGGUGCAAGCGUUAAUCGGAAUUACUGGGCGUAAAGCGCACGCAGGCGGUCUGUCAAGUCGGAUG
rnacentral:rRNA from 1 species